rnacentral:rRNA from 1 species
GAUGAACGCUGGCGGUGUGCCUAAUACAUGCAAGUCGAGCGAACAGACGAGGAGCUUACUCCUCUGACGUUAGCGGCGGACGGGUGAGUAACACGUGGAUAACCUGCCUAUAAGACUGGGAUAACUUCGGGAAACCGGAGCUAAUACCGGAUAACAUGUUGAACCGCAUGGUUCAACAGUGAAAGACGGUCUUGCUGUCACUUAUAGAUGGAUCCGCGUCGCAUUAGCUAGUUGGUAAGGUAACGGCUUACCAAGGCAACGAUGCGUAGCCGACCUGAGAGGGUGAUCGGCCACACUGGAACUGAGACACGGUCCAGACUCCUACGGGAGGCAGCAGUAGGGAAUCUUCCGCAAUGGGCGAAAGCCUGACGGAGCAACGCCGCGUGAGUGAAGAAGGUCUUCGGAUCGUAAAACUCUGUUAUUAGGGAAGAACAAAUGUGUAAGUAACUAUGCACGUCUUGACGGUACCUAAUCAGAAAGCCACGGCUAACUACGUG